UAACACAUGCAAGUCGAACGAGAACGGAUUUUAGUUUACUAAAAUUGUCAGCUAAGUGGCGCACGGGUGAGUAAUAUAUAGUUAACCUGCCCCAAAGAAGAGGAUAAUUGAUGGAAACGUCUUGUAACUCUCUAUAUGCCUUUAUCACAUAAGUGAGCAAGGGAAACAUUUAUGGCUUUGGGAUGGGACUGUACGGUAUCAGAUAGUUGGUGAGGUAAUGGCUCACCAAGUCAAUGACGCCUAACUGGUUUGAGAGGAUGAUCAGUCACACUGGAACUGAGACACGGUCCAGACUCCUACGGGAGGCAGCAGUGGGGAAUAUUGCACAAUGGAGGAAACUCUGAUGCAGCAACGCCGCGUGGAGGAUGACACAUUUCGGUGCGUAAACUCCUUUUAUAUGAGAAGAUAAUGACGGUAUCAUAUGAAUAAGCACCGGCUAACUCCGUGCCAGCAGCCGCGGUAAUACGGGGGGUGCAAGCGUUACUCGGAAUCACUGGGCGUAAAGAGCAUGUAGGCU
rnacentral:rRNA from 1 species